rnacentral:rRNA from 1 species
GUAGGGAAUAUUGGGCAAUGGUCGGAAGACUGACCCAGCCAUGCCGCGUGCAGGAAGACGGCCCUCUGGGUUGUAAACUGCUUUUAUCUGGGAAGAAAAAGGCCAUGCGUGGCAAAUUGCCGGUACCAGAUGAAUAAGCACCGGCUAACUCCGUGCCAGCAGCCGCGGUAAUACGGAGGGUGCGAGCGUUGUCCGGAUUUAUUGGGUUUAAAGGGUGCGUAGGCGGCUGAUUAAGUCAGCGGUGAAAGACUUCGGCUUAACCGGAGCAGUGCCGUUGAUACUGGUUGGCUUGAGUGUCGGAGGGGUACAUGGAAUUGAUGGCGUAGCGGUGAAAUGCAUAGAUACCAUCAGGAACACCGAUAGCGAAGGCAUUGUACUGGCCGACAACUGACGCUGAUGCACGAAAGUGUGGGGAUCGAACAGGAUUAGAUACCCGUGUAGUCC